UACAGAGGUGGCAAAUGUUGCUCGGAAUUACUGGGCGUAAAGGACGCGCAGGCGGACUGUUAAGUCAAGAGUGAAACCCAUCGGCUCAACCGGUGGCAUGCUUUUGAAACUGGCGGUCUUGAGACACGCAGGGGAUGAUGGAACACCUGGAGUAGCGGUGAAAUGCGUAGAUAUCAGGUGGAACACCGGUGGCGAAGGCGAUCAUCUGGUCGAGGUCUGACGCUGAGGCGUGAAAGCCGGGGGAGCAAACAGGAUUAGAUACCCUGGUAGUCCCGGCCCUAAACGGUGAGUGCUAGGUGUAGGGGGUUGAACCUCUGUGCCGCAGCUAACGCAUUAAGCACUCCGCCUGGGGAGUACGGUCGCAAGUCUG
rnacentral:rRNA from 1 species